CAUAUGUCAGGUGGUGUUGUCGAGAGUUGUGGGCUCGGUGAAUAGCUAAUGAUCAAGAGGAUCAUUUUGGGAGACGCUUAUUUGUAAGUAAAGGAUUAAGUUCGGACGAGGAAGUCCGACAGAAAACACCUGGUGCUGUCAGGAUGUUUAAGUGACACAGAAGUUCAGAAAAUCGAGUCAGAAAUGGUUUUGUGGCUCUUGGUAAACUGAUUUUGAAGGAAAAUCAGUGUUUAUUGUGCUGAAGUAACAGAUCCGGCGCGGUCUGACGGGAAGAAUCAGCUGCACAAUUCUGAGUGUGCAGCGUUGUUGAUAUUAACAGAUCCGGUGUGGUCUGAGGAAAAGAAAUAAAUUGGUUAAUGGCUGAUAUAUUUAUAUGAAUUUUGGUGGAUCUGCUGAGGUCCAGAAAAUAAUCAAUGCGGACUGUGUUUGUUCGAACGUUGAUAAAUGAUCCAGGAAGAAUUGCCCUGGGUCUGUGUCUGUGUGUGUGUUGUUCAGUGACAACAUGCACAGUUUAAAAUUGGGCGCUGUUCCUUCCUCUUUUUGGUUUCAAAACACAAAGGCUGUUGGAUGAAGAAUUACUGUGUGAGGAACGGCUUCACUUUUGAUUAGGGAAAUAAUAUGCUUACUUGUGGGUCUAUGAAGAUCUCGUAACAAUCUGGGGGAGAUGCCGGGGUAAAAAAGAGUGAGCUCGGACGAAGGGGUCCGAGAAAAGAACACCGUGAGUUGAGCAAGGUGUUUUAACUGACUCAGGAUUUCAGAGAAUCGAGUCAGCUGUGAUCUUGAGUUUUAAGGAGUCAGUGUGUCCCCUCACCUCAUAGCACCCGUGCCCACUUGGCCCCCGUAUCAGGCGAAGCAUGGAAGGCUGGACAGCCCAUGACGGGUAAGAUCCCACCUCGAAACCCUGGGACAACCUAAGGCAAGGCGCAGUCACGAUUGCUUGAACCUAGGUCCCUAAGUGAGCUUGGACUCACUGGAGGAGACGGACUUCAAGGGUAAAGCCGCUGGGGCAGAGGGG
ensembl:lncRNA